CUUCAGAAGAUAAUAAAAUGCUCAUGCAGAAACUUUUACGAAGUGUAAAGUACUAUUUUUUUUAUAACAUGAUAUUGCUUAAGUUUGGUUUCGUGCUCACCGUUCUUCUCAUGACAAUUACUAUCAGCUUGCCAUGGUUCUCAAAUUCUAAAGUGGAGGCGAUUCAGAAUGUUGAACAUGAUCUCUCAAGACUCGAAAGGAGCCUAGUCCCUCGUCUUAAUGGCUUUUUCACUUGUGGGAGAACUUGUGUAACUUCAAAAGAGUGCGAAGAUUGCUGGAUUUGUUGUACUUGUCGAUUUGGUUAUUGUGACACAGUUGCUCCGUAGAGUGCAAAUUGCACAUUAUCGUCCAAAUGCAACAAACUCUAGUACCAUCCCCACUAUGAAUCUUUACUUUGGUGUGAUUUCAGUGUUUCUUUCAAUGUUUCAUUGUCUUUUAGUCUUUGUACGAAUAAUGGAAAAGUUAAUUGAACGACUUUCUAUUUAUUUAACAAAAAUAAAGGAUAUCGACUUCAAAA